UACGUAGGGUGCAAGCGUUGUCCGGAAUUAUUGGGCGUAAAGAGCUUGUAGGCGGUUUGUCGCGUCUGCUGUGAAAUUUCGGGGCUCAACCCCGAACUUGCAGUGGGUACGGGCAGGCUAGAGUGUGGUAGGGGAGAAUGGAAUUCCUGGUGUAGCGGUGAAAUGCGCAGAUAUCAGGAGGAACACCGAUGGCGAAGGCAGGUCUCUGGGCCAGUACUGACGCUGAGAAGCGAAAGCAUGGGGAGCGAACAGG
rnacentral:rRNA from 1 species